GACGAACGCUGGCGGCGUGCUUAACACAUGCAAGUCGAACGGAAAGGCCCUGCUUUUGUGGGGUGCUCGAGUGGCGAACGGGUGAGUAACACGUGAGUAACCUGCCCUUGACUUUGGGAUAACUUCAGGAAACUGGGGCUAAUACCGGAUAGGAGCUCCUGCUGCAUGGUGGGGGUUGGAAAUUUUCGGCGGUUGGGGAUGGACUCGCGGCUUAUCAGCUUGUUGGUGGGGUAGUGGCUUACCAAGGCUUUGACGGGUAGCCGGCCUGAGAGGGUGACCGGCCACAUUGGGACUGAGAUACGGCCCAGACUCCUAUGGGAGGCAGCAGUGGGGAAUAUUGCACAAUGGGCGGAAGCCUGAUGCAGCAACGCCGCGUGCGGGAUGACGGCCUUCGGGUUGUAAACCGCUUUCGCCUGUGACGAAGCGUGAGUGACGGUAAUGGGUAAAGAAGCACCGGCUAACUACGUG
rnacentral:rRNA from 1 species